rnacentral:rRNA from 1 species
UACGGAGGGGGCUAGCGUUGUUCGGAAUUACUGGGCGUAAAGCGCACGUAGGCGGCUUUUGUAAGUUAGAGGUGAAAGCCCGGGGGCUCAACUCCGGAAUUGCCUUUAAGACUGCAUCGCUAGAAUUGUGGAGAGGUAAGUGGAAUUCCGAGUGUAGAGGUGAAAUUCGUAGAUAUUCGGAAGAACACCAGUGGCGAAGGCGACUUACUGGACAC